rnacentral:rRNA from 1 species
UACGUAGGGUGCAAGCGUUGUCCGGAAUUAUUGGGCGUAAAGAGCUCGUAGGCGGUCUGUCACGUCGGCUGUGAAAACCCGAGGCUCAACCUCGGGCCUGCAGUCGAUACGGGCAGACUAGAGUUCGGUAGGGGAGACUGGAAUUCCUGGUGUAGCGGUGAAAUGCGCAGAUAUCAGGAGGAACACCGGUGGCGAAGGCGGGUCUCUGGGCCGUUACUGACGCUGAGGAGCGAAAGCGUGGGGAGCGAACAGG